CGGUGUACAUGGAAUUUAUUCACAAAUGUUCUACAAGACAGUCACAUGUGGAUAUUUUAUGAGAGUGGACCCCACUGUUGUGAGUAUUCUAUAAAAUAUCUGUAAAAAUUCUCUUGUAAGUGUAGCACCAUUCCAUAACCAUUAACUCCACGUAUAUACAUAGAAACAUAUUUUUUGUGGGCAACGUUGUCGUCGAUCUUUUAUUUUUUUUGGCUUGAUCUCCAACCGUAAAUUCGUCCAAAAAAAAUCUAUUAAAUAAUUUUACCUCAAAUUUGUUAAAUGGUCAAACCAAAUCUAGCGCGAUGGAAAAAAACAGUAUUUCACUUUACUACAGUAGUACUCCUGAGUUUUUAUUCACGUGCACUCCACAUAUUAAGAUCAAAACAAAAUUUUCCAACUAUAUAUAUAUAUAUAUAUAUAUAUAUAUAAGCUUGAAUACCAAUUUUGAGGGCUCCCAUCGCCCCUCUCUUAAAGUAUCGUGAGGGAGGUACAUUGCGGGAUGCAUUCUAGCGAGCCGGGGAAUAAGAGCUUGUCCGUAUACUGGUGCCUACAAAGAAUCAAAUUUCAUAUGUUAGGAAUAAAACCCUGACACUUCAGCCAUCAGUAAGGUUGAAACUACCUCACUCCUAUCAUUUGCACCACUGAAUUAUACCUCGGAAGGCUGACACGCGCGAUUUUUAGUUAUUAUAUGUAAACAGGACUGUACUAGGUGUACAGAAAGGAUUCUCACAGAAUCCAUACAGAAUACACACAAAUUGGUGAGUUCCAGAUUUUUUGACAAUAUUUAAUUUACAUGAGUUCCAUAAUUUAUGUGAGAAUCUGUACAACUUCUAUGAUAGUUUUUCUAUACAUAUGCUUUUUCCCAUGUAAACACGUUUUGUCAUCACUUAUUUUUCGUUUAGUACGAGGAGUUCUAAUAUUUUCAAAUGCCGCGUCCACACUGUCAUCUUACCUAUUUGUCUUUAUUCUUUUUGACCAAGUCUAUGAUGUGUGACACUUCUCUUUUUCUUCUUCAUUUGCCAAUUAUCAUGUUCAGAUACAAUAAAGUUGACAACGCUAGAACAUAUGAUUUAAAUUAUCAAAGAUUGCACUAGUGAUUUGGGGUGAACAAAAUGAUCGAAUCAAACUAAAUUGAACGGUUCGAUUUGAUUCUACAAAAAAAUUAAUGGUUCUGCUUCUUAGAACUGAGAACCAUUUGAUUUUGGUUUUGGUUCUGAUUCGAUACAUAUACCAACUCUCACAUGAGAACCAACAACUACUGCCUAUGAUUUGGCGUUGCACUUAGUAUCACAGGGACGAAGUUUGUUUAAUUUAAUAGGCUGAUUCUUAGUCACUACUGUUGCAUGAAUUUUUGAAAUUGAAAUCUCAACUGUCGAUUCUUAUUCCUCAAACGUUCUCUCUCUCUCUCUCUCUCUCUCUCAAUCAAUAAUGGAACUAUAACCAAACUAAAUCAAACCAGAAUUGAAUUGUUUGAUUCUAUUUUGGUUCCAUAUCUUAAAAAAAAAAAAUCAUUUGAUUCCAUUAUAAAAAAAUCAUUAAUUCAUGAUUCAAUUUGAUUUUUUUGAACCAAAACCAAAAUGAAACCACGUCAUCCCUACUAAUGAUAUCAUCAUAUAUAGGUUGUCAAGCAUCUUAUUCAUAAGUGUCUCUAUGUGCCAAUUGUUUCGAGCUUGCCAAUUUAAGAAGGAAAAAAACUGUCUCGGGGCACAAAAUCUCAGGGGCCAAACUUACAAGUUGCAACCCAUGAUAACAAGGCCCGUUUUACUUCUUAUAGAAAAACUUUAUAAGAAGCUAUCUUAAUUUUUGAAAAUUAACUUUUAAAAAAGCUUUCUCCUUCGGAAUAACUUUUCGAGAAAGCCACAUUAACUAUCUUAUUCUAAAAGUUAUUCUAACUAAAAUAAAUACUUCUAUAAAAUUAUUCAAGCAGUCUAAAAGUAGUUUUUGAAUUUAUAUGUAAAUAUUACUUCUUUAUAUUAUCAUCCCAUGACGUAUAAUGAUUAAAAAGAAAUUAUUGUUUAUAGAAUAGUACUCAAUUACAUAGAACUAAAUCAUUACUUGAUAGCACUGGAUAAAAGUUUUAAGUCGUUAAAAUAUAUUCAUACAUAGUUGUAUUUGAAAAUGUCCGUCAAAUAUAAAGUCAAUUAUUUUUUCAUUACCGAUCCAUUAAGUCUCAUAAUGAGGUUGUGAUUGAAGAAUUGAAAAAUGUGUACUCAAUAUCAUGUUAAAUUAACUUAUCAAGAAAAUUUAAAUCAUUGAAAACAUAAGAAAUUUAGCCCCCGCCCGAUCACGCUUCUUUGUGAUUUUUAGCUUAUUUUCGACCGUUAUACAUUGAAACAAGGAAGCUGCCGCAAUUGUUGAAUAAGGACGCAACUGCAAUUGUUGAAAAAAGGCAACUUUCAUAACUUUUCACAGAAUUAAAUACCGAAAAUGCCCCAUCAAGAUGAUGAAGAAAAGCUAAAGAGGGCAUUUUCGUAAUUCAAAGAUGAAAAAAUUAUGACAGCUUCAUUGUUGUUCAACAAUUGUGGCAGCUUCCUUGAUUUUACAAUGAAUUAAUUUACUCAUACAAUUGUUGUUGACAAUAAUGGAUGACAACAUUGAUGUCGUUAAAAUUUGAUCCAUUAAUUUUAAAACCAGUUUUUAAAAUGGAUGAAUGUGAUUAUUAUGCCAAGAAACCAAAAAUACACAAAGUAUACAAGAUUUCACUGUGACAUGUUACAGACCCAAAUCGAACAUUUGACACAAGAUUUCAUCGACUCUUCGGCUCAGAAAAUUCAUUGUACCCAUCUGUACAUUUGUAAAACACCCAAGAAAACCCCAAGAGCCACAAAGGAAAAAUCGGGCACACUUUGACAGGAUCGAACAGAAAACUCCAAAACAUAUAUCAACCCUUUCCCUUCUCAAAGAAUCACUUAGAUUCACUCAAUCACACAGAAAGAAUAGCACUAAAUCACAGAAGACUUCAAGAGAAACAUGAAGAAGAUGAAAGAGAAAGCCACCAGAAAGUUUGGGUUCUAGAGAGUUCAAGAGACGGAAGAAAAAUGAAUCGAGCAGCUAGGGCAACCCAUAAGGUACAUAUAUAUAAAAGCACAUCAACCGUUGAUAUAAUCUAAAGGAUCUAACGUCCCUGGAGCAGCACAAGUGGCCUACAGUUGGACUCGGGUUAACUAUCUAGUUAUUUGAUUACUAUAUUUUUUCACCAAUGUCGAGGUAUUUAACUAUCUAGUUAUUUGACUAACCACCUUGAAAAGAUAACAUCAAUAAACUAAAACAACAGUAUAAUCACAAGAAAUGUAUGCUAUUUACCUUUCAACAACAAAAUAAAAAAUAAAAAAUCAAACAUCAUUAAAAAUUCAAAAUCAAAAUUCACCAACUUGAAUGGCUGAAAACAUGGGCUUUUUUCCAACCCUAGCUACUUCAUCUUUUGCCAUAAUUCUUGUCUUGCCUCGUAAAACAAAAUAAAGUUAUUAAUCUUUUGGGAACGAUUAAAACGAAAUGAUAAUACCCUUUAAAAAAAAUCAAACUAGAACCACACAGUAAAAUCAAACCAACAUACAUUCAAUUCAUGGCAAAAUUCUAUAUUUACUUACCAAAAACGCUUGUUUCAAUAAUUUAACUUCAAACCUCUGUAAAAAGAAAACAAAAAUAGGGAAAACAAAGGCUCACCUUCCACCAUCGCCUCCCGCAAUUUCUUCACCUCCAACUGCUUUGCACCAUUGCCAUUGGCAAAUCAACGGAUGGAACAUCAUCCCUUUAAAACCUAUAAAAAAAAAACAAAACCAUAUUUGCCUGAAGAUUAGAAGAAGACGAGAAUGGGGAUGGCUGAGAAGGAAAACAAAAAGAAAUAAAGUUGUACUCUUACUUCGUACCUAAAAAUAAGGAGUAUGGUUGCCUCAAAAGUAUGGUCG
rnacentral:lncRNA from 1 species